UACGGAGGAUGCAAGCGUUAUCCGGAAUGAUUGGGCGUAAAGCGUCCGCAGGCGGCACUUCAAGUCUGCUGUUAAAUCCUAGGGCUCAACCCUGGAGCGGCAGUGGAAACUGAAGAGCUAGAGUUCGGUAGAGGUGGAGGGAAUUCCCAGUGUAGCGGUGAAAUGCGUAGAGAUUGGGAAGAACACCGGUGGCGAAAGCGCUCUGCUAGGCCGAAACUGACACUCAUGGACGAAAGCUAGGGGAGCGAAUGGG
rnacentral:rRNA from 1 species